rnacentral:rRNA from 1 species
UACGUAGGGCGCAAGCGUUGUCCGGAAUUAUUGGGCGUAAAGAGCUCGUGGGCGGUCUGUCACGUCGGCUGUGAAAACCCGAGGCUCAACCUCGGGCCUGCAGUCGAUACGGGCAGACUAGAGUUCGGUAGGGGAGACUGGAAUUCCUGGUGUAGCGGUGAAAUGCGCAGAUAUCAGGAGGAACACCGGUGGCGAAGGCGGGUCUCUGGGCCGAAACUGACGCUGAGGAGCGAAAGCGUGGGGAGCGAACAGG